ACAUGGCCCCUUAGCCUGAAGUCGGGGGGUUACAAAUCCAUUAACAGUUAAGGGGGAAAACAAGUUUCGUCGCUCAAAUAAAACACCCCUACUUGGUUGGUUGAUAUGGUUUCUACCCAAGCAGACGCCGCUGAGCCCUACAAUGCGGAGAAAACCAUAAGGUGAACCCUAUUCAUAGCAGACAGUGGACUUUACCAAAGCAGUAUGACAAGGGGUGAACGCAUCUUCCUAUAACAGAGCUUAUGGAUCUGACACGUAUUUAUGUCUUCCGUGUCUAUCGCCAACUUUGUGAGUAGGUCAGUGAUAAAUUGGGGGUUUGGAAACACAUUCAAUGAAGACAAUACGAACAGACAAACUCAGGGAGUGGUAUGGCAAGUGACACAGAAUACGUGCAGGGCGUGCUGGUGAUAGGGAACCCCGGUGCGGAAUGGAGGCGGACGUAUUACUAAUGCGUGCGUCAGAGAAUCCAGAAAUACGCUACCACGCGAAUCUGACCCACGUAAAGUAAUGGUGCCAGUGAGGUAAAGAAAGGGCAGCGGACUACCCACAAUGCUGCACACGUAGGAUUGUCGAAAUCAGUGUCGUGUGUUCGCGGCACACAGUUAUGUGACUGUCUGAUGCAGCACGGUGAUGUACGUCGGAUAAUUCCAUGAUGUAGAAAUAUGGAGGGCUCCCAAAAGACUACAGUUGAACGGAAAUGGAUAUUCUCCUACGCAGAGGAGGACAAUGUCAUCACAUUCAAGUACCCGGAGGGCCAAGAAAAAACUUUAGUUUCCAUCAUUUCUCUCAACUAUACAGCAUAAAUCAAAACAUUCUGACUUUGGAAAUUGCAUAUCAAUAAAAAAUUAAACUAACAAACUUAAA